GACAAGAUCUUGUUGGGUGGAGGAAAGGGCGGCUCGGUGACGGUGACCAACGACGGAGCCACCAUCCUGAAAGCCAUCGGCGUCGACAACCCGGCCGCCAAAGUCCUGGUCGACAUGUCGAAGACUCAGGACGAUGAAGUUGGAGACGGGACGACCUCCGUCACCGUGCUCGCUGCGGAGCUGCUGCGGGAGGCCGAGCUGCUGAUCUCCAAGAAGAUCCACCCACAGACCAUCAUCUCCGGCUGGAGGAAGGCCACCCAGGUCGCCAGGGAUGCUCUGAGGGAGGCGGCCGUGGAUCACAG